CAACAGGAGGACUAUAAAUACAUUCAAUUUCAUACCCUAUACUGGAUACUUUCAUGUAAACAACGAGUUUGGAAAUAUGAUAGCAAUAUUUAUAUUCAUGUUAGUGUCUGUUAACUGUGUGCACGCUACAUGCAAUUACCACGGAACCAUACACCAAUUGGGAACGAGUUUUGAUGCCAUUGACGGAUGUAAUACUUGUUUUUGUCAGAAACGCGGUAUAGCAUGUACUGAAAAAGCUUGUAUGAAUCGUCCUGUUGGGAAAAGAUGAUCCUCUGUAUACCAAAUUGGAUUUCAUUACAGCAAUAUGUGAACCUUGUAAUUCUAUCAAUUGAUAUUCAACAAUAAAUAUUGCUAACAAAUCA